CAAAUUGGUACCCAAAGAUGCUGAGAGGGAUGCAGGGAAGGAGGAAGGAUGCUCUGAUUGGUACCCAAAGAUGCUGAGAGGGAUACAGGGAAGGAGGAAGGAUGCUCUGAUUGGUACCCAAAGAUGCUGAGAGGGAUGCAGGGAAGGAGGAAGGAUGCUCUGAUUGGUACCCAAAGAUGCUGAGAGGGAUACAGGGAAGGAGGAAGGAUGCUCUGAUUGGUACCCAAAGAUGCUGAGAGGGAUGCAGGGAAGGAGGAAGGAUGCUCUGGUCAAAAUUGGUACCCAGGAGGUUGAGAGGGAUGCAGAGAAGGAGGAAGGAUGCUCAGAGGGAUGGAGAGUGGUACCCGGGAUACGGAGAGGGAUGCUGAGAAGGAGGAAGGAUGCUGAGAGGGAGGAAGG